rnacentral:rRNA from 1 species
AGUGAACGCUGGCGGUAGGCCUAACACAUGCAAGUCGAACGGCAGCACAGUAAGAGCUUGCUCUUACGGGUGGCGAGUGGCGGACGGGUGAGGAAUACAUCGGAAUCUACUUUUUCGUGGGGGAUAACGUAGGGAAACUUACGCUAAUACCGCAUACGACCUACGGGUGAAAGCAGGGGAUCUUCGGACCUUGCGCGAUUGAAUGAGCCGAUGUCGGAUUAGCUAGUUGGCGGGGUAAAGGCCCACCAAGGCGACGAUCCGUAGCUGGUCUGAGAGGAUGAUCGGCCCCACUGGAACUGAGACACGGUCCAACCCCCUAGGGGGGGCAGCGGUGGGGAAUAUUGGAAAAGGGGGGAAAGCCUGACCCAGCCAUACCGGGGGGGGAAAGAAGGCCUUGGGGUUGUAAAGCCCUUUUGUGGGGAAAAAAAAGAAGCAGGUUAAUCCCCCGCUGUUCGGACGGUACCCAAAAAAAAAGCACCGGCAAACUUGGG